ensembl:lncRNA
UUGCUGCUAAAGCUUGUUUUCAUCAGCGUCAAAUUCUGAACUCCUUGCUUAAACAAAACUCCCAGUGGUUUCAGGGACAUGGAGUUCAGAAGAUGGCCCAGUUUGUUGGUUUUUGCUUUCUUGCAUAUGCAAUCAUACCAAAAUCACAUUGAAGUUAUGCCCAGGGGUAUAAAGUAAAUAAAGAAAGUAAUUGUAUUAAUAGACAGACCUGCUCAUUGUGGUACAAAGCAGGGUAAAUUACACCUUGUGCAGUCUGUCAGCACUGAGAGCAGACAGGGUUAUCAAGAGGAACUUAAGACAUUUAUAGUGAGGAAUGAAUAACUGUACAAGAGAGCGCAGCCUGCCUCUGUGUGUGUGAGUGCCUGAGCGUGAAGGGGGAGGAGGACGUUCCCUGCAUCAGCUGUUUUUUCUUUGACCACUCCUUUGCUCAUUCAGCACAAUUUUUGAUUUUGAGGCAGUAUUUCUUAACAGCUUUCUUGGCAGAGGGAAGACUGUGGCUCUUCAGUGUUUUCUCAGGGCUCCUUCCUACCAGGCUUUCUGUGUCGGUCUUGCUUUCAAACCAAAUUCUCACAGAAACACCCAGCUUUCUGCCACAUUUAUGCUUGUGUAUUUGUAACAUAUGACACGAAACCUGCCUACGUACUCAUUAUAGGCUUUACCAUUGGAAGAUUAGCUAGGGAUGCAGUUUCAGCUCUAGCGUGACUGUUGUUGCAGUGGUGACUGGAUCCAAUUAAGUGUUGUGCAAGCUCAACUCACAGGGCCUCAUUUUUCUUGUGCUUACAGCAGUACUUUGGACAUGGCAAAGGGAGGCAGGAGAAGACUUCUCAAGGGUUUUCUCUAUCAUAAUUCUCUUAAAUGGAAUUAGAAUAUGGAUAUAUUUCUGACAACUCAAACAGUGUAGGGCAGAGGGACAUCUUUCAUUUUACAAUGUUAACACACAAAAUUCUUGUGCUACCUUCAGUUCCCCUUUAAACUACAGAAGAGCCUGAAGAAGACAGCACUGGACCAAAGCUGCCAGAAGGACACCCCACGUCCAAUUGUUCCUGAUGGUCCUUCAGCAACUUCAGCCCAAUAUGAAGUUUGGAGCAACCACGCUCAGGUAUCUUGGUUAAAUAUCUCAAGUUGGUGGGAUGACACCAGCAGCAGCCAGCCUGCUUUCGGCUACUAUUUAAAGAUCCCAAGGACACAGGCAGCGCAACUCCCAGCUCACCAAGGAGGACAUUCAAGUCACAGCCGGUUACAGACAAACUUUUUCUGUGGUGGCAGUAGCCCAGUGAUACGCGGAUUAUGGAACCAACCUUCUCACUUCAUGCAGCUUCAAAGCGUGUAAGACUCUGGGGAGAGAUGAGAAGAGGAAAGACAAAGGGGGCUUUUAGUGAUCUUGUUCUUGGGUUUGCCAGAUUCCAGGCUGGGGCCAGUUUAUCAGCAAGGAGGGAAUAGGAAGUGGUUUCCAGAGGGGGUUAUAAUGGCUCUUUAUCGGUAAGUGCCAGUGUUUGAAAUAAUGCCACAUAAUCACAUCCUUAUAUUUUCCUACUUAGUCUAACAUCUCACUGGGAAUUUUUAAAAGUACA